UACCCACCCCCCCCAACCCUUUCCCUUCCCCGCCCCCGCCACCGCUGGAGUCGCGGCGCUGCAGGCCGGAGCUGGGUUGGAGGAGCACCCUGGCUCGGUGGGGAAUCUGUGCCGGCGGGCCUCUAAGCUAGGUGGGCGAGCAAGCGAAAGAGCGAGCUAGCAAGUCGGGCGGCGGCGUGCGGCGCCGUUAAGGGCGCUGCCCCGCGCGCUCCCAGGCCGCCCCGGGUCCCGGGCUCUUAGAAGGAGGAUAAUUCCUGGGCCCGAAAAGCGGGGGCGGACGGAGGCGUUGUCGUCGCUCAAGCUCGUCGCGGCGUGUGGAACCUUAGGUUGGCGCCUGGGGUUGGGGACUGAGGCUAAGGGCGCUGCCUGUCAGAGCGGAGAGCCGGGUUUGCCUCGCGCCCCCGCUCAGGACCCUGACGCGGGUGAGGCGGCCCCGGGAGCAUGAGCGGGCAGCGCGUGGACGUCAAGGUGGUGAUGUUGGGCAAGGAGUACGUGGGCAAGACGAGCCUGGUGGAGCGAUACGUGCACGACCGCUUCCUGGUGGGGCCUUAUCAGAAUACCAUAGGGGCCGCCUUCGUAGCCAAGGUGAUGUCCGUCGGAGACCGGACGGUGACUUUGGGUAUUUGGGACACAGCAGGCUCUGAGCGCUAUGAGGCCAUGAGCCGAAUCUACUAUCGGGGCGCCAAGGCUGCCAUCGUCUGCUAUGACCUGACGGACAGCAGCAGCUUUGAACGGGCAAAGUUCUGGGUGAAGGAGCUGCGCAACCUAGAGGAGGGCUGUCAGAUCUACUUGUGUGGCACCAAGAGUGACCUGCUGGAGGAGGACAGGCGGAGGCGACGGGUGGACUUCCACGACGUUCAGGACUAUGCAGACAGUAGCUGCUCCUUAGCUCCUUGGGUUGGGGGUGGGGAGGGGAGGAAAGUGGCUGCUUGGGUGGGUCACAGAAAAUGGGGGCUGCUUUGGCAAGAUCCUCCACAGGAAGACUGUCUCUGCCUCUGCGCAUCUGUGGGGUUCGGAAGAGUCCCUGUACUGCUAGUCUGUGCCCACCUAAUUCUCAAGUAUGAGGCUUUAGUCAUUUCUCUUUACAGAUAUCAAAGCUCAGCUCUUUGAAACAUCCAGCAAGACAGGCCAGAGUGUGGACGAGCUCUUCCAGAAAGUGGCAGAGGAUUACGUCAGUGUGGCCGCCUUCCAGGUGAUGACAGAGGACAAGGGCGUGGACCUGGGCCAGAAGGCAAACCCCUACUUCUACAGCUGUUGUCAUCACUGAGUCACCACUCACUUGGCCUGGGGGGGGAUCCCCCCAGGAAGGCUGGACCUAGCUCUUGUCUGGGCUUGGAUGAUCGAACAUCUGAGCUCCCUGGGUUCCCGUGGCAGCAGAGGUGGCACCUGCCUGUGCUGGCCCAUGGAACGGAGACAGCAUUGGGGCUGACUGAUGGGCACAAAGAGGGGGAAGCUGCCAGGACCAACUUCCUUCCUGCCACUCUGUUCUCAUGAGGCAACGUGCGAGUCCAGCUCCAGUGAGUAGAUGCUGCCAAGCCUGGAAAAGGAUCGCUGAUGCACUUCAUGCCCUGACUGUAGUGUGGGGUGGAGAAUGUAAAGAAAAAAACAAUUAUUUAUAUCAAUGCUAAAGAUGUAGAUUUGGGAGUUGUUCAGAAGAGGAUCAACACAGUGAUUUGAAUCACUUCAAACUCAAUAACUUCAGGGGGAAGCAGACAUUAAAAAAAACUUAAAUGCUGUUGUAGCAACAUCUGUUUUGCUAUGAGAAUGGGUUUGCUCCAGUAGAGAAGCAAAUGAGGCUUUGAAUAAAAAUUUCAACAGUU